UAACUCAGUUGGUAAAGAAUCUGCCUGCAAUGCAGAAGACCCUGGUUCAAUUCCUGG
rnacentral:tRNA from 1 species